rnacentral:tRNA from 1 species
GCGCCCGUAGCUCAACGGAUAGAGCCACUGGUUUCUACCCAGUCGGUUGGGGGUUCGAGUCCCUCCGGGCGCACC